rnacentral:rRNA from 1 species
UAAGGAAUAUUGGUCAAUGGACGGAAGUCUGAACCAGCCAUGCCGCGUGCAGGAUGACGGCCCUAUGGGUUGUAAACUUCUUUUAUAGGGGAAGAAAGAUACUUUUUUUAAGGUAGUUGACGGUACCCUAUGAAUAAGCACCGGCUAACUCCGUGCCAGCAGCCGCGGUAAUACGGAGGGUGCAAGCGUUAUCCGGAUUUCCUGGGUUUAAAGGGUGCGUAGGCGGGCAUGUAAGUCAGUGGUGAAAUACCGGAGCUUAACUUCGGAACUGCCAUUGAUACUAUAUGUCUUGAAUAUUGUAGAGGUAAGCGGAAUAUGUCAUGUAGCGGUGAAAUGCAUAGAUAUGACAUAGAACACCGAUUGCGGAGGCAGCUUGCUACGCAAAUAUUGACGCUGAGGCACGAAAGCGUGGGGAUCAAACA